rnacentral:rRNA from 1 species
GAUGAACGCUAGCGGCAGGCCUAAUACAUGCAAGUCGAACGGUGUCUUCGGACAUAGUGGCGCACGGGUGCGUAACACGUAUGCAACCUACCUUACAUUGGGGGAUAGCCUUUCGAAAGGGAGAUUAAUACCGCAUAAGACAGUAGCUGGGCAUCCAGCAGCUGUUAAAGAUUUAUCGAUGUAAGCUGGGCAUGCGUCCAAUUAGCUAGUUGGUGAGGUAACGGCUCACCAAGGCAAUGAUUGGUAGGGGAACUGAGAGGUCAAUCCCCCACACUGGCACUGGGAUACGGGCCAGACUCCUACGGGAGGCAGCAGUAGGGAAUAUUGGGCAAUGAACGCAAGUCUGACCCAGCCAUGCCGCGUGCAGGAUGUAGGCGUUAUGCGUUGUAAACUGCUUUUAUACAGGAAGAAACGACUCUUGCGAGAGGCAUUGACGGUACUGUAUGAAUAAGCACCGGCUAACUCCGUGCCAGCAGCCGCCGUAACAC